rnacentral:rRNA from 1 species
UACGUAGGGGGCUAGCGUUGUCCGGCAUCAUUGGGCGUAAAGAGCGCGUAGGCGGCCAGAUAAGUCCGGUGUGAAAGUCAAAGGCUCAACCUUUGAAUGCCGCUGGAAACUUUCUGGCUAGAGUCCGGAAGAGGAGAAUGGAAUUCCUGGUGUAGCGGUGAAAUGCGCAGAUAUCAGGAAGAACACCCGUGGCGAAGGCGGUUCUCUGGGACGGUACUGACGCUGAGACGCGAAAGCGUGGGGAGCGAACAGG